UUGAGAUCGACCAGGCCAAAGGAAAAAGGGGUAAACCCUAAAUUUCAAGAAAAUCUCCAAAUCAAAAAGGGAAUUGAAGGUUUUUAGGAUGCAUGUAUAAAGAUUAUCGAUCUCCUAAGUGUUCUUCACUAUCAAGAUCAUAUCAAGAUGGGGGAGACAUGGAAGGCUACGUAAAGGAUAUGAGGAAGCAUACACGAGACGGGCACUCGAGGCAUGAGAUUGUCAGAUUCAUGAAGGAAUGAAACCUGGUUUGGAUAAAGAGUAUUUAAGAAAGCGCUUGGACAAUUCCAC